CAUUACAAACAACGCAACUCAGCUUAGCUAGAUUUCAAUUCUAGUUCACCACAAUUUUCCCGACCAUCCCGGCUCCCUGAUGCGGUGCACAGUACAGGCUGUACUGCCCUGGUGCCUUCAGCACAACCGAGUAUGUCUCUCCCGGCGCGUUCAAGAGAUCAUUCUCGUCCAUAGACAGAGACCCAGCAUUAACUCCAGAUGGAACCUCAUCUUCGUCAAACACCACGUUGU
rnacentral:lncRNA from 1 species